rnacentral:miRNA from 1 species
GGGUUGUGCUCUCUCUCUUCU